rnacentral:tRNA from 2 species
UUCCUACCAUCAGCACCCAAAGCUGAAAUUCU